rnacentral:tRNA from 1 species
GUGGCAGUAGCUCAAUGGUAGAGUCCCGGGUUGUGGUCCCGGUUGUUGCCGGUUCGACUCCGGUCUGUCACC